rnacentral:lncRNA from 1 species
GAGGGAUUUUCAUCUCUACUAGGUUAUUGGUAGAUAAUAUAUACAUGUUUUAUUUUAUUUAUUUAUUUUUUUACACAUGUUUUAAUAAUUGCUAUUUACCUAGAAACAGCCAAGGUUUCACUUAGACUUACAGUAGAGAAUAGGGUUAAUUUCUUGUUUUCUACACAACCAAGUGGGAAGAAAAAAUGGCCAUUGUUUAUACCAAUACACAUGUGGAAAAUUAUAUUUUCUUUGAAGAGGCAGGAUAUUUUAAGGUAUCAUGGAGAAAGUGGUGGAAGGGGUGGGUUUUUUUUCAGAGAAAACAGAAGGAUCCGGUUCUUUAUGUUUCCGAUGCUUUUCACAGAUGUGACUUAUUGGUUUUGACAUCAGAUGUUCAUAUGUUGGUUUGAUUUAUGGAGCAGCUAAUUCUAAGGGUGGGAAAAUCAGAACAGAAAUUUUGGAAUAUCAAUCACAAUCGUCAUCUGCUUCCUUGUCUGGCCUGGCUAUAAUUUGUGGAUUCGACAUGUAAAUUAGACAUUUUCUUCUUUAACAAGGAAACUGGAAAGAGUAAUGUGUAUGCAUUGGUAAACAACACUUAUAUCUGCUUCAGGGGGAAAUGAUAAAGUUUUGAGUCUAUCUCUUAAAAGUGAGGACGAUCUUUGUCCUCAGUUAUUCAGACCCAGCUCCCAACAACUUUGUUUAGACUAGAGUUCUGUGUCUAGUUUGAAAGAAUAAUCAAAUAUAGUCGACAAAAUUUCGACCUUGCCUUGAUGUUUUGCAUUCUUUGCCUUGUGUUUGGGAGGGAGGAGAGUUGCUGGGCAGAUACGCAAGAGCAGUCAUUGUGCGAUGAUGGGAAGGAUGCAGGAAAGACUGAGUCCAGAGCUCCCCUCCUCCUACUGUGGCCGCCAAAUCAAGAGUUGGCUUGGAUGUGUCAUGACCUUGGCAGCCAGGCUGCCCUGAAGAGAUGCUUCUGGGUGGAAAGUAUUGAGAACAGAUCUUAUGGGUUUCGAUGAGAAGAAAAUUCAGGAAACCUUAAGAUUCACAUAUUUUCUAAUCUAUGGUUUUUAUCAGGACUCAUUAGGUAAUAUAAAUCAAGGUAAGUUGGGAACUUAACACAAUUAAACUCCUGUUUUCUGUAACAUUCAGCUAGCUGUUUAGAACUUCUCUGAAUCAAUUUUUACAAAUGAAAAAACCUAUCACAGUUAGGAUUAAUUUCCUCUUAUUGGAAAUGGAGUGGCA